rnacentral:misc_RNA from 1 species
AUGGCCUCUAUGUCAGCUC